UGGUUAUUCCUCUUUUGUCGG
rnacentral:piRNA from 1 species